rnacentral:rRNA from 1 species
UCGGGAAUUUUGGGCAAUGGGCGAAAGCCUGACCCAGCAACGCCGCGUGAAGGAUGAAGUAUUUCGGUAUGUAAACUUCGAAAGAAUAGGAAGAAUAAAUGACGGUACUAUUUAUAAGGUCCGGCUAACUACGUGCCAGCAGCCGCGGUAAUACGUAGGGACCAAGCGUUGUUCGGAUUUACUGGGCGUAAAGGGCGCGUAGGCGGCAAUUCAAGUCAUCUGUGAAAUCUCCGGGCUUAACUCGGAACGGUCAGAUGAUACUGCUUUGCUAGAGUGCAGAAGGGGCAAUCGGAAUUCUUGGUGUAGCGGUGAAAUGCGUAGAUAUCAAGAGGAACACCUGAGGUGAAGACGGGUUGCUGGGCUGACACUGACGCUGAGGCGCGAAAGCCAGGGGAGCAAACGGGAUUAGAUACCCCCGUAGUCCCUGAGCGGGC